GCAAAGUGAAACAGGAAACUUUGCUGCCCUAAACGGAGUAUACACAGUAUGUGUCCGGGCCUUAAAAGGUGAAGAAUAUUUAGACAGAUGAAGAGCAUUCCAGGUGGAAAGAACCAUAUAAGCAGACACUGGAAAGCAGGGUUUCUUCAAACACCUUUGGUGAGGGCAAGGGAGGGAUGGUGCAAGUCUGGAUAUGUGAGUCUGGGUGACCAUGGGAAGAACUGCAAAGACCACAGAGCUGGAAUAUGUGAUGCCUCCAAGCCUUCUAGCCUUGGCCAAAACAAUGUCCUCCAUGAGGCAGGUCUGGGGCCCUCAAGGAGCAAUGGCCCUCAGUGUAUGGUUCUCAAACCAGCACCAUUGGUGUCACGUGUGAGAUUACUGAACAUGAAAAUCCAGGGUGCACUAAAUCAGAAACACUGGGGAAGAGGUCCAGGAAAUGGGUCUUAACAACUCUCCAACCGAUUCUUACGCAGGCCAACCACUGAUAUAGAUGACUCCAGCUCUCCGAGUGGGUCUUUUUAAAUGUUAGGUCCUGGGGCCAGGAAGAAACAGAAUAUCACUCUUCCUUGGUGCUAUGGAAGGAAUUAGAGGGAUUUUAGGGGUGUAGGGGAAGGCAACAGUGCUCUGGGGACUACUUUAUGCCCAGUGAGAAAUUGGUUCUAAUCAUUCUGCAUCUAUGAAGUCCAUAAAGGACCAAGUUCAAGCCUCCGCAGUCAGGAGCCACUUCACUUUGUACCCCAGGUGACAGCCCAGCACUUGUUCUAGGGCUGGGUCGGGUGGGGAGGGAGAUGUCUUCAGAAACUCAAGAAGGAAAGGGAGCUUUCUCCUGGAGAGUGUCCACCGCGUCGGGCGCCC
ensembl:lncRNA novel transcript, antisense to PLXNA2